CAGCAGCCACGGUAAUACGUAGGUGGCAAGCGUUGUCCGGAAUUAUUGGGCGUAAAGCGCGCGCAGGUGGUUUAAUAAGUCUGAUGUGAAAGCCCACGGCUCUACCGUGGAGGGUCAUUGGAAACUGUUAAACUUGAGUGCAGGAGAGAAAAGUGGAAUUCCUAGUGUAGCGGUGAAAUGCGUAGAGAUUAGGAGGAACACCAGUGGCGAAGGCGGCUUUUUGGCCUGUAACUGACACUGAGGCGCGAAAGCGUGGGGAGCAAACAGGAUUAGAUACCCGCGUAGUCCCUGUCUCUUAUAA
rnacentral:rRNA from 1 species